UACGGCUCAGUAACACGUGGACAACCUACCCUACGGAGGGGGAUAACCCCGGGAAACUGGGGAUAAUACCCCAUAGACUAUGGAUGCUGGAAUGCUCUGUAGCCGAAAGGUCUGCCGCCGUAGGAUGGGUCUGCGGCCGAUUAGGUUGUUGUUGGGGUAACGGCCCAACAAGCCUGUAAUCGGUACGGGUUGUGGGAGCAAGAGCCCGGAGAUGGAUUCUGAGACACGAAUCCAGGCCCUACGGGGCGCAGCAGGCGCGAAAACUUUGCAAUGCGGGAAACCGUGACAAGGGAACUCUGAGUGCCCGUAAAAUCGGGCUGUCCAUCGGUUUAAAUAACCGGUGAAGAAAGGGCCGGGCAAGACCGGUGCCAGCCGCCGCGGUAAUACCGGCGGCUCGAGUGGUGGCCACUAUUAUUGGGCUUAAAGCGUUCGUAGCUGGUUUGUUAAGUCUCUGGGGAAAUCUUCCGGCUUAACCGGAAGGCGUCUCAGGGAUACUGGCAGACUAGGGACCGGGAGAGGUGAGAGGUACUCCAGGGGUAGGAGUGAAAUCCUGUAAUCCUUGGGGGACCACCUGUGGCGAAGGCGUCUCACCAGAACGGCUCCGACAGUGAGGGACGAAAGCUGGGGGAGCAAACCGGAUUAGAUACCCGGGUAGUCCCAGCUGUAAACGAUGCGCGUUAGGUGUAUCGGUGACCACGAGUCACCGAGGUGCCGAAGAGAAAUCGUGAAACGUGCCGCCUGGGAAGUACGGUCGCAAGGCUGAAACUUAAAGGAAUUGGCGGGGGAGCACA
rnacentral:rRNA from 1 species